rnacentral:rRNA from 1 species
UACAGAGGUCUCGAGCGUUAGGCGGAAUCACUGGGCUUAAAGCGUGUGUAGGUGGAUCGUUAAGUACCUUGUGAAAUCCCACGGCUUAACCGUGGAACUGCUUGGCAUACUGGCGGUCUUGAGCCAGCUAGGGGCUACCGGAACAAAUGGUGGAGCGGUGAAAUGCGUAGAUAUCAUUUGGAACGCCAAUGGUGAAAACAGGUAGCUGGGGCCGUGCUGACACUGAGACACGAAAGCCAGGGGAGCAAACGGG